rnacentral:rRNA from 1 species
UACGAAGGGUGCUAGCGUUGUUCGGAAUCACUGGGCGUAAAGCGCGUGUAGGCGGCUAUUCAAGUCAGAGGUGAAAGCCCGGGGCUCAACCCCGGAAUUGCCUUUGAAACUGCAUAGCUAGAGUGUCGGAGGGGAUAGCGGAAUUCCUAAUGUAGAGGUGAAAUUCGUAGAUAUUAGGAGGAACGCCGGUGGCGAAGGCGGCUAUCUGGACGACAACUGACGCUGAGGCGCGAAAGCGUGGGGAUCAAACAGG